CACUCUCUCUGCCUGCUGCCUGCCAUCCAGACGUACAACUCUCUGCUACCUCUCCAGGACCAGGUCUGCCUCUGUGCUGCCAAGCUUCCUGUCAUGAUGGUAAUGGACUAAACCUCUAAACUCGUCCCGCAGCUGUUUCCAUGGAGCUAUGGAGAAACCGAGCCUGGGAACCGGUAUUCUGAUGCACCCUUCAACCCUGGAAACACAGUCUGAAGAUGGCUGUCCCUGUCGUUGGGUGCUCACAUGGUCAACAGGGCUGCUGUUCUUGAUGCUUAUCUGUAACUCUGCAGCUGGGUAUUUCCCGGUUGCCUAGCUAUUGAGCCAAGCUAAAAUAAUAUCAAUCAACUUCACAACUUACUAUCUAACUUUUCUAAACACUUAUAAAUCAAACAGCCUGUUAAUUUAUUUAUCUAGCUCCUGGGUCUUCUAUGUAUCCCUGGCUAGCCUGGAGCUCACAGAGAUCUGCCUGCUUCUACCGCCCAAGUGCUGGGAUUAAAGAUGGGUGCUACACUCUG
rnacentral:lncRNA from 1 species